AGUAAAAGCUUAGGCAAAUUUGUCUUCCAAACAAAUCUUUAAUUUACUAAUAUAUUUUUUAAUU
rnacentral:tRNA from 1 species